AGCAGUCGCGCGGUAAUACGGAGGAUCCAAGCGUUAUCCGGAAUCAUUGGGUUUAAAGGGUCCGUAGGCGGUCUUGUAAGUCAGUGGUGAAAGCCCAUCGCUCAACGGUGGAACGGCCAUUGAUACUGCAGGACUUGAAUUAUUGGGAAGUAACUAGAAUAUGUAGUGUAGCGGUGAAAUGCUUAGAGAUUACAUGGAAUACCAAUUGCGAAGGCAGGUUACUACCAAUUGAUUGACGCUGAUGGACGAAAGCGUGGGUAGCGAACAGGAUUAGAUACCCCGUAGUCCCUGUCUCUUAUACAC
rnacentral:rRNA from 1 species